ensembl:misc_RNA 7SK 7SK RNA
GGAUGUGAGGGCAAUCUGGCUGCGGCAUCUGUCACUCUAUUGAUCUCCAUGGUUGAUUCGGCUAAUCUGGCUGACUAGGCGUCCCUCACCGAUCCAGGUGCAUCCCUCCUGAAGCAUGCUCAGUUGAAGAGGAUGACCUUUCCCCACUCAGGAGAGGACCAGUCUUCGGCCAAGGGUACAUGAGUAGCUGCGCUCCCCUGCUGAAAACUCCAAACAAGCUCUCAAGGUCCAAAUCUGAUGAUUUCUCAUUCUAUUUCUUUAAAAAAUGACAUUGGGAUUUUGAUUGGGAUUUCAUUAAAUCUGCAUAUUGCUUUGGGUAAUAUGGCCAUUU